GCUUUGGCCUUCUGCAGGAAGAAUGGCUCCCCUCUCCCAUGGGGACAAAAGCACUGCCGAGUCCCUCUGCUCACCAGCAUGCUUUAAAACAGACCUUGCACUUCCAGUACAUUUAUAUACUGAAGUAUAUGUGUGGAAAAGGUGGGCGUGUCCUGUGGAAAGGAGUUGAGGGUGAUGUUGACAUGCCAGCUCUCUGUACAUGGAAGAUGACUUCUGAGGUCCUACAGGAAAGGACUGCAUAGUCUGCUGAAGAUCACAGACAAGAUACCCUUCUGUGAAAGGUGUCUGAAUGUUGAUGGUGCCAAU